GGGUUAAGUCCCGCAACGAGCGCAACCCUCGACCUUAGUUGCCAGCAUUCAGUUGGGCACUCUAAGGUGACUGCCGGCUAAAAGUCGGAGGAAGGUGGGGAUGACGUCAAAUCAUCAUGCCCCUUAUGACCUGGGCUACACACGUGCUACAAUGGGCGGUACAAAGGGUCGCGAACCCGCGAGGGGGAGCCAAUCCCAAAAAGCCGCUCUCAGUUCGGAUUGCAGGCUGCAACUCGCCUGCAUGAAGCCGGAAUCGCUAGUAAUCGCGGAUCAGCAUGCCGCGGUGAAUACGUUCCCGGGUCUU
rnacentral:rRNA from 1 species